UCUUCGUCUUCCUCCGCCGCGCCUGAAAAGGGCGGCGCGGACUUUGGCGAAUCGGCGGCGGAGGAAACGCAGAGCGGGUGGCGCCGACCUCCGCGGCGUUACCCCGGUAACAAUGGCGGCGGCGGGCGGACCGGGCCCGCUCCGCUCCCCUCCGCUCCUCCUCGCCCUGCCCGGCCCGGGGUCGCCCCGCCGCGGUCCGUGAUGAGUAGCCACUGCGCAAGCCGAGUUCCGCGGGGACCGGUGAGGAAGCUUGUGCUGGGGAAGCAGCCAUCCUCUGAGCAAAUAUUUACAGCAACUUCCACAUAGACUGUAGGAAACACUGCUUCAGAAGAACCUGGCUAUGUUUUCUACAUGACCACAAAGCAAGACACGGGACUUGGAAACAACAUGACCCCCUCACACAGCAAAAGCAGCGCUCCAUGAUACCAGCAGACCACUUUUGAUUCAACCGCUCAGCGAUGGAGACAUAUUCUAAGAGCAGUUGAAUGCAUUUGUUUCCUUUUCCUCCCUCCUCCUUGCGAGCAUUAAAAGAUCUUUGGUUUUCUUUUA